rnacentral:rRNA from 1 species
UACGUAGGGGGCUAGCGUUGUCCGGAAUCAUUGGGCGUAAAGCGCGUGUAGGCGGUCCGGUAAGUCCGCUGUGAAAGCCGGGGGCUCAACCCUCGAAAGCCGGUGGAUACUGUCGGGCUAGAGUACGGAAGAGGCGAGUGGAAUUCCUGGUGUAGCGGUGAAAUGCGCAGAUAUCAGGAGGAACACCAAUUGCGAAGGCAGCUCGCUGGGACGUUACUGACGCUGAGGUGCGAAAGCGCGGGGAGCAAACAGG